rnacentral:rRNA from 1 species
UCGGGAAUAUUGCGCAAUGGAGGAAACUCUGACGCAGUGACGCCGCGUAUAGGAAGAAGGUUUUCGGAUUGUAAACUAUUGUCGUGAGGGAAGAAAUUGACAGUACCUCAGGAGGAAGCUCCGGCUAACUAUGUGCCAGCAGCCGCGGUAAUACAUAGGGAGCAAGCGUUAUCCGGAUUUAUUGGGUGUAAAGGGUGCGUAGACGGGAAAUUAAGUUAGUUGUGAAAUCCCUCGGCUUAACUGAGGAACUGCAACUAAAACUGAUUUUCUUGAGUACUGGAGAGGAAAGUGGAAUUCCUAGUGUAGCGGUGAAAUGCGUAGAUAUUAGGAGGAACACCAGUGGCGAAGGCGACUUUCUGGACAGUAACUGACGUUGAGGCACGAAAGUGUGGGGAGCAAA